rnacentral:rRNA from 1 species
GACAGAGGGGGCAAGCGUUGCUCGGAAUUACUGGGCGUAAAGGGCGCGUAGGCGGGAUGGCAAGUCGGUCGUUAAAUCCUUCGGCUCAACCGAAGAACGUCGAUCGAUACUGCUGUUCUUGAGGGUUGCAGAGGAGACUGGAAUUCCCGGUGUAGCGGUGAAAUGUGUAGAGAUCGGGAGGAACACCGGUGGCGAAGGCGGGUCUCUGGGCAAUUCCUGACGCUGAGGCCCAAAAGCGUGGGGAGCAAACGG